CCUACGGGUGGCUGCAGUGAGGAAUAUUGGUCAAUGGGCGGGAGCCUGAACCAGCCAAGUCGCGUGAAGGAAGAAGGUACUUAGUAUUGUAAACUUCUUUUGUCGGGGAACAAAGGCGGAGACGCGUCCCCGGCUGAGUGUACCCGAAGAAAAAGCAUCGGCUAACUCCGUGCCAGCAGCCGCGGUAAUACGGAGGAUGCGAGCGUUAUCCGGAUUUAUUGGGUUUAAAGGGUGCGUAGGCGGGCGAUCAAGUCAGCGGUAAAAGGUCGGGGCUCAACCCCGGCCGGCCGUUGAAACUGGUGGUCUGGAGUGGGAGAGAAGUAUGCGGAAUGCGUGGUGUAGCGGUGAAAUGCAUAGAUAUCGCGAAGAACUCCGAUUGCGAAGGCAGCAUACCGGCUCCAAACUGACGCUGAGGCACGAAAGCGUGGGUAUCGAACAGGAUUAGAUACCCGGGUAGUC
rnacentral:rRNA from 1 species